UGGGGAAUUUUGGACAAUGGGCGAAAGCCUGAUCCAGCAAUGCCGCGUGUGUGAAGAAGGCCUUCGGGUUGUAAAGCACUUUUGUCCGGAAAGAAAUCCUUGGCUCUAAUACAGUCGGGGGAUGACGGUACCGGAAGAAUAAGCACCGGCUAACUACGUGCCAGCAGCCGCGGUAAUACGUAGGGUGCAAGCGUUAAUCGGAAUUACUGGGCGUAAAGCGUGCGCAGGCGGUUUGCUAAGACCGAUGUGAAAUCCCCGGGCUCAACCUGGGAACUGCAUUGGUGACUGGCAGGCUAGAGUAUGGCAGAGGGGGGUAGAAUUCCACGUGUAGCAGUGAAAUGCGUAGAGAUGUGGAGGAAUACCGAUGGCGAAGGCAGCCCCCUGGGCCAAUACUGACGCUCAUGCACGAAAGCGUGGGGAGCAAAACAGGAUUAGAUACCCNUGGUAGUCCACGCCCUAAACGAUGUCAACUAGUUGUUGGGGAUUCAUUUCCUUAGUAACGUAGCUAACGCGUGAAGUUGACCGCCUGGGGAGUACGGUCGCAAGAUU
rnacentral:rRNA from 1 species